AGAUUGAACGCUGGCGGCAGGCCUAACACAUGCAAGUCGAGCGCGAAAGUUCCUUCGGGAAUGAGUAGAGCGGCGGACGGGUGAGUAACGCGUAGGAAUUUGCCCAGUAGUGGGGGACAACUCGGGGGAAACUCGAGCUAAUACCGCAUACGCCCCAAGGGGGAAAGCAGGGGAUCUUCGGACCUUGCGCUAUUGGAUAAGCCUGCGUCGGAUUAGCUAGUUGGUGGGGUAAGGGCCUACCAAGGCAACGAUCCGUAGCUGGUCUGAGAGGAUGAUCAGCCACACUGGGACUGAGACACGGCCCAGACUCCUACGGGAGGCAGCAGUGGGGAAUAUUGGACAAUGGGGGCAACCUGAUCCAGCCAUG
rnacentral:rRNA from 1 species